rnacentral:rRNA from 1 species
UACGGAGGAUCCAAGCGUUAUCCGGAUUUAUUGGGCUUAAAGGGCGCGUAGGCGGCCUUCUAAGUCGAACGUGAAAUCCCCGGGCUCAACCCGGGAACUGCGUCCGAUACUGGAAGGCUUGAAUCCGGGAGAGGGAUGUGGAAUUCCAGGUGUAGCGGUGAAAUGCGUAGAUAUCUGGAGGAACACCGGUGGCGAAGGCGACAUCCUGGACCGGUAUUGACGCUGAGGCGCGAAAGCCAGGGGAGCAAACGGG